GACAACCUUUCUUAAUGUGUGUAUAAAUUUUAUGUCUGUCUCUUUGAGGUUUUCAUCUUUCCCAGUACCAGGAUAGGGUUUAAUCAUAAGAAUUGGGCACUGUGGUGUAUUUCUAUGUGCAUGGUGCCCUGUGGAAAUUCUAUAAUUUUGGAAGAUGCAAAUCAAGCAAUAGGGCAGUUCUGUAGCAUAAAAGUCCCACCAGGAUGAAUGUCUUCUUGUUCUCUCCAUCAUCAGAGAUCUGGUUUCAAACCCAGGUGAAAUUUUGGAUUGAAGUCAAACCAUGCAUCUGUUAGGAGUUUCAGUUUUUUCUUAUUUUGGAGAUUUAAGGAGAGUCUUAGGGAGUAUGGGAAAAUCUGGGCCAAAUAUUUUGGUUAACCCCCAAACUGAUCCAGUCUCCCUGAAAUUAUCUAAAUCUAAACCACAGUUGAUAUCAUAGGUUAACUUAGAACCACAAGAGACUUCUCUACAAUGGCCAGGCAUGUGCCCAGAGACACCUUAGAAGCUCCUUCUGGCCUAAACUCCAAUCCAGCACCACUAGACAGAUACCAUUAAUAGACCUUUUACUUCCUUUUAUCCUAUUUAGGAUACUCUUGACUCUCAGGCUCUACUUUGCACAUGAAGGGCCAAGAAAAGAGUAGUAGGAUUUGAAGAAGAUAAGUUUAGGAGGAAGGAAUUCUCAUCCUUAAUUUAGGAAAUGUGAAUUUAUUAAGUAGAGGAAUAAGGGAGUAGUUCCCAGUGUCUUUUCAUAACAGUAACUAUGACUUUUUCUUAAGAAUUCUUAAUCUUGAAGCACCUACCUGGCUUAGUCAUUUGGGUGUCUGCCUUUGGCUUGGAUCGUCAUCUUGGGGCCCUGAGAUCAGGCCCCACAGCAGUUUCUCUCUGCUCAAUGGGGAGUCUGCUUCUCCCUUUCACUCUCCCUCUUUCUCUAUGUCUCUCUUUCUCUCAAAUAAAGAAAAUCUUAAAAAAAAAAAAACUCUUAAUCUUAACACGGAUGCCUAAAUUUUGAGAUAUUUGCUUAAGAGCUGUUCAUGUUUUUAUAUUGUAGUUCCUCUACAGCUUUAAAAAAAAAUGAAUGUUUAUAGUAAUUUAAGAAUCCCUGAAGACAAUUAACUGAGCUCAGAAGUAUGAUUAAUGUGUAAGCUUUGAUUCUCUUUUAAAGUUUUAAUAGGCUUUAUAAUACUAUGUUACAUUUAAGAGAAUCCAUAGAAAUUUUCUAAUCCAAUCCCCAUAUAAAAGGGGGAAAUUUAUUUAUUUUUUAGAUUUUAUUU
rnacentral:lncRNA from 1 species